GAAUCUCUAUAGCUUUAUUCUCUCACUCUUUCAUGAAGACUAUAUCCUCCUUUAUGGAGACUAUUUCCUCUCUAAAUCUCUAAAGGUAUUACACUCUUCAAUUGAUGCCUUCCUCCUCUUUGAAGAUCAUCUUUCGCUCAUUUCCUACACCACCUUGAAGAGUCCACCUUCACCCACACAACCACCAACACAAUUAUCUCACUCGUAGUAGUUUUAUAUUUGACGGAGCAGACGUCAUCAGAACCUCAUGUCACCUUAUAUCGAAGGUCGCACAAGGCUAGUGUCUCCCACCAUCAAAAUCAUCAGAGAUGUUUUAUAAUUUGAUAUAUCUUGUGUUGUUUGAUUUAUGCUUUUAUAAUUAGUCUGUUUGUCGGUAUAUUUGUUUGUUUCUGUGUUUUUUUU
rnacentral:lncRNA from 1 species